UACAGAGGAGCCAAGCGUUGUCCGGAUUGACUGGGCGUAAAGCGCACGCAGGCGGCCGCGCGCGUGGGGUGUGAAAUCUGGCCGCUUAACGGCCAGGCGCCAUCCCAUACGGCGCGGCUGGAGCCAUGCAGAGGGCGGUGGAAUUGCCGGUGUAGUGGUGAAAUGCGUAGAGAUCGGCAGGAACACCCAGGGGGAAACCAGCCGCCUGGGCAUGCGCUGACGCUGAGGUGCGAGAGCGUGGGGAGCGACCGG
rnacentral:rRNA from 1 species